GACGAACGCUGGCGGCGUGCUUAACACAUGCAAGUCGAACGGAAAGGCCCUGCUUUUGUGGGGUGCUCGAGUGGCGAACGGGUGAGUAACACGUGAGUAACCUGCCCUUGACUUUGGGAUAACUUCAGGAAACUGGGGCUAAUACCGGAUAGGAGCUCCUGCUGCAUGGUGGGGGUUGGAAAGUUUCGGCGGUUGGGGAUGGACUCGCGGCUUAUCAGCUUGUUGGUGGGGUAGUGGCUUACCAAGGCUUUGACGGGUAGCCGGCCUGAGAGGGUGACCGGCCACAUUGGGACUGACAUACGGCCCAGACUCCUACGGGAGGCAGCAGUGGGGAAUAUUGCACAAUGGGCGGAAGCCUGAUGCAGCAACGCCGCGUGCGGGAUGACGGCCUUCGGGUUGUAAACCGCUUUCGCCUGUGACGAAGCGUGAGUGACGGUAAUGGGUAAAGAAGCACCGGCUAACUACGUG
rnacentral:rRNA from 1 species